rnacentral:rRNA from 1 species
UAUGUGAUCGUCUCUCGCAUAUUAAUAAGCGGAGGAAAAGAAACUAACAAGGAUUCCCUUAGUAACGGCGAGUGAAGCGGGAAGAGCUCAAAUUUGAAAUCUUUAAGGUUUUACCUUGACGAAUUGUAGUUUAAAGAAGUGUUUUCUGUUGAAGUUUUGGUAAAAGUUCUUUGGAAUAGGACAUCAUAGAGGGUGAGAAUCCCGUAUUUGACCAUUAUUUUCAGCUGUGUGAUACACUUUCAAAGAGUCGGAUUGUUUGGGAAUGCAGUCCAAAAUGGGUGGUAAAUUUCAUCUAAAGCUAAAUAUUGGCGAGAGACCGAUAGCGAACAAGUAUCGUGAGGGAAAGAUGAAAAGAACUUUGAAAAGAGAGUUAAACAGUACGUGAAAUUGUCAAAAGGGAAGCGUUUGACACCAGUGUUGUUUUCUCGAAAAUCAAUUAAAAAGAGUUAGAUUUUGUUGUGUAUUGACCUUAACAGCUUGCAUUUCAAUUUUCUUGCUUUUUUUAAUGCACUUUUCGUUUAACAAGUCAACAUCAGUUUCUUUUGUUGUAAAAAGGUCAUUGGAAGGUGGCUUUCUUUUCGGAGAAAGUGUUUAUAGCCUUUGACUCCUGCAAUCGGAGAGACUGAGGUCUGCAGCGUAGAUCCUUCGGGGUUAGAUACAUUUGUGCUAAGUUAUAGCUUUUUAUAGACAACUUGUUGACUAUGAUUAGUCUUGUAGCUUACUCGCUUAUGCUAUUUUACCUACGCUUAGGAUGUUGAAGAUGUAGCACAUCAU